rnacentral:rRNA from 1 species
AGCGAACGCUGGCGGCAGGCUUAACACAUGCAAGUCGAGCGGACCUUUCGGGGUCAGCGGCGGACGGGUGAGUAACGCGUGGGAACGUGCCUUCCGGUUCGGAAUAACCCUGGGAAACUAGGGCUAAUACCGGAUACGCCCUUAUGGGGAGAGGUUUACUGCCGGAAGAUCGGCCCGCGUCGGAUUAGCUAGUUGGUGGGGUAACGGCCUACCAAGGCGACGAUCCGUAGCUGGUCUGAGAGGAUGCUCAGCCACAAUGGGACUGAGACACGGCCCAGACUCCUACGGGAGGCAUCAGUGGGGAAUAUUGGACAAUGGGCGCAAGCCUGAUCCAGCAAUGCCGCGUGAGUGAUGAAGGCCUUAGGGUUGUAAAGCUCUUUUGUCCGGGACGAUAAUGACGGUACCGGAGGAAUAAGCCCCGGCUAACUUCGUGCCAGCCGCCGCGGUAA